rnacentral:rRNA from 1 species
UACGGGGGGGGCAAGCGUUGUUCGGAAUUACUGGGCGUAAAGGGCUCGUAGGCGGCCAACUAAGUCGGACGUGAAAUCCCCAGGCUCAACCUGGGAACUGCGUCCGAUACUGGAUGGCUUGAAUUCGGGAGAGGGAUGCAGAAUUCCAGGUGUAGCGGUGAAAUGCGUAGAGAUCGGGAGGAAGGCCGGUGGCGAAGGCGGCGCUCUGGAACGUAUCUGACGCUGAGACACGAAAGCGUGGGGAGCAAACAGG